AAACGGUCCAGUUCCAGUCAGUUUUUCUCAACUGAAUCCUUUACAAAAAGACUAGAAAGUCCUCCCCGAUACCUUGUGAGAUCAGACCAGCCCCACCAAGCCACACACAUCCCUUAUCCGUUUCCCAGGAACCCUUACUAUAUCCACCCACAGACUGGACCAUGAGGUUAGCUUGUGCCAAGAAAACAGAAUAUAGGUAGUAGCUUUUCCCUCCAUGUUCCCAAAUAGUUAUGCCACUUUUAGAUCUGACAUGUUUACUUUUAUUAAAAAAUGAGUCUUUGACAACCUGUUGGAAAACAUUUCCCCCUUGGACUGCUAAUUUGCUGAUAGGCUCAGCGGAGCACAGCAUUUGUUUGUCCUCUCCCAGGUACUGAAUGUCUCCGUGGGUGGCACCACCACCAAUUGGAAGCCUAUCUUUACAUUUCCCUCUAAAACCCACCUAGAACCUGCUGGGAGGUUGUGGCUACUCUGAGAAAACAGUGACUGGACCCUUGGCUCAUGCCACAAGCUAGGUGACAGUCUAGAGGCAUCUGCUUGAGGCCACUAGUAGCAGGUCUUCCUGUUUCCUGGCCCUGUAGAGACCUUAGUUCUACUACCCUUGGCCUGUGAGUUGACUCCACCUCAGGUCAGUUCAGCUCUCUGAAUUAUUAGGAAAGUCUUCUAGUCAAGGAAAGGUUGGACUAGUAAAGCAAUUGCCUAGCAUGUGCAAGGAGGCUCUGUGUUCAAUCCCAACACUCCACCUACCUCCUACUCAUUCCCUCUGCCCCUGAGCUGGCCUUGUUACAACUUAAGUCACUGAGGCAGCUAAGUGACUCUGUGAAGACCUGUGAGGUUUUGCUUUUGCACAUUGAGGGGACAUCAGCCAUGACCUAGAUGCCAGCGGCACUGAUAAAGAGACUAUGGGAGCAGUGCUGUGACAGCGUCCAUACCCAGGAUCCACAGGGUACUUGUAAGCAUGACAAUUUAUUCCGAAGUGUUCCUGCAUUUUGAACAACCUGAGCCAGCACUUGUGUCAUGAGAAACACUAUAGGACACUAGAAAUGUAGUCUGGGAACCUCUGAGGUACUCUUUGGCUUUGGUUAUGACCUUGGAAGAGCCUCCUGGCCACCAUCUUCAAAGUAUGCUUGAAAGCCUGAUAUUCAUGUUUCACUUUUUGAAAUGAUAAUUACAUCAUUUCUCUCCUUUCUUCUUCCAAAACCUCUCAAUGUUGCACCCCUCUCCUUAGUCUAUUUCAAAUUCAUGUCCUUUUUUUCUUUAUUCUUUAAUUGGUGUGUGUGUGUGUGUGUGUGUGUGUGUGUGCGUGUGUUCCUAAAUAUAUAAGUACAGCCUGCUUAAUCUGUAUAAGGUUACUUGUAUGUGUAUAACUGACCAUGUGAUGUUGGAUACCGAUUGGUGCUGCUCUUCCCCGGCGUUCCUGGUCUUGAGUUGAGGCCUCUUGAGCUCCCCGCUUCCACAUCAGCAUGUCUAUUGGUGUCCUCCUUGUUCAGUUCAGUUAGACAGCUGUGUUGGUGAGACUUCAUGAAUACAGCUUCUGACAUUUCUAGGAGAUAUAAUCUCACAGCAAACUUCCUAUUCCUCUGGCUGGUAUACUCUUUCCACUCCUUCUCCUGCAAUGAUCCUUGAGUCUCAGGUGUGAGAGUUGUUUUAUAGAUGUAUCAUUUGGGACUGGUUCCACAACUCUGCGUUUUGAUCCAUUGUGGAUUUCUGUAUUAGUCUCUGCCUGCUGCAAAGAGAAGCUUCUUCGAUGAGGGGUGAGAACUCCACUUAUCUGUGGGAAUAAGGACAAAUAUUUAGGAUGAAGUUAGGGAUUAGGCUGGUUUCGUAAAGUAGGUUAUCCUCCAAGGUCCAUGACUUCACUGGCCCUGGGUAGCUGGCUAGAUCUCCAGCAUGAUUUCCCUCUUGUUGAACAGGCCUUGAGUUCCAUUAGAGAGCUGUUGGUUACUGCCAUGUUAUGCUUGCUUGUACCCUCAAGGUAAUCGUGCCAUGCUGGUCACUGUUGUCAUUCAUAGGUGCCAUAGCUGAGUAGGACUGUUGGUUGCUUUCCUCCCUUGGAAGCUUGCAUAGUGCCUUCUGGAAACAUGAAAGGUAGCCCUCAGGCUUUCAGUCAGGUCAAGCUUGGAUCCUCAGAGUCCUAUGUUUGAAGUGUGUGUUAUUUUUAGCAAUAUCUUCCACCUCUAGGAGGCAACCAAGGGAACUAGCAAUAUUCCAAAAUGCGUUGGACUCUCUUGGACAAAAUGUUAGAUGGUCUAUGGCUCUUGGGCUGAUAUAUUUUUGUCUUGUUUUCUCCCUAGUUAAAACACUUAGCUAACGGAAUAUCUUAUUAAUUUACUUAGUGUGUGGUGUAUGUACAUGUGUGUACACUUGCAUGUGUGUGCACAUGUGUAAUGGUUAGUAGUCAAUGUUCGAUAUACUCCUAGAUCACUGACCCCCCUCAUAGUUUUGAGACAGGGUCUCUCAUUGAACCCCAUUUGGCUAGGCUGAUGGCCAAUGAACUCAAAGCAUUUACAUGCCUCCACACUUACCUUUUACAAGGGUGUUAAGAGAUUCAAACUCAGAUCCACAUUGUUGUGUGGCAGGCAUUUUACCAACCAAGUCAUCUUCUCCUGAAUAUGUAAUAUUUUUUAGCCUGCACUCCAAAAAAAAUCACCAAAAAUUCACAUGGCAUCCACAUACCAGCAGUGAACAUAAAAGCUCCUCUGGGUUAUUUAUAGAUGUGGUAUUUUUCACUCCUGAAUUAAUCUGCAAGUAGGGAGCCUGAAAUUGGGUGUCUGAAAAUUCAUGUUAAGAGGUAAAGGGGCUCACAGCCUGCUCCAGCUGAAGUCCCUAUCUCCUCAGUUUUAUCUACCAACUUGAUUUAUAUUGAUUUUAAUUCAGUUUGGGAGCUUUUUUCAGUUCUUGUACAUAGUGGAUAAUAAAUGGUGGUCUAAUUGCAAGUACUGGUUGUUUGACAGGUAGGUACAGAAAGGCCAUGCCCAGACAUCCAGUUCAGGGUUUAAACUCAUAAAACCCAUGGUUCCACAGGCUGAUUGGAGUGUUGUUAUCAUCCAGGCAGACAUGGCUCCGCCUCUUGGGGACCUGGCCACUCACCCCCUGGCUCUGUAUGCAGGCAUAAAAGAUUUCUUUAAGGGGGGGGGGUGUCCACCUACUUUCUCUUUUUGCUGUUUCUCUGAAGAGACAGGUCUUUGUCUUUCUCCUGUCUCUCUCUCUCUCUCUCUCUCUCUCUCUCUCUCUCUCUCUCUCUCUCUCUCUUCUCUCUCCUUUUCUUCUCCCAAUAAACUGCCUACAUAAUUUCUGCCCAAUGGUAUGUUUGUCCCUCAUCCACCAAAGGUCCCUCUGGAGCCGAAUAUGCUAACAAGUUCUGUUUGCAUCCACUCUUAUUGAGCAGCUACCGUGUGCACCAUGUAAGACAUGGAACUUGUAGAAAGGAAUGACUAGAUUCUCGAAGUUACUGGGAAUUUAGAUAAAAAUAAGGAAUUAAGAGAAAAAUAGGGAACUCCUAGGGUGAUUCAAGCAAUAAACAAAUAAACAUGUUUCUUCUCGGAAAUGGAGAAUUCCAGUGACUGGUUGGUGAAAGUGUUGGAGAAAUAGAGGGAGAAGAAGCUCCAGGGCUGGGUGUGAUUGGGAGACGCAGGGCAGAGCCCAGCCAAGUCUAACUGGUUCAAGAGCUAAGGAAUCACUGCCAUCAAAUGGUCUUUUUCCUGGAAAAGCUGUCUCUUUAGAUCCUUGACAGGGGGCCAGGUGGAGCCAGAAUAGCUUAACCAGGAGGUAGCCCACAUCCUGAGUCUCUGCAACCUUGUCAAGGUCACUUACCCCUUGGCAAAGUCACUUACCCCAUUAACAUUGGGGAUGUUGCAACAUUUGUUUCCUGACAAUUGAGAUAGGAAUCCUGUGUCACGUUAUUCAAUAGACCUAAUUCUCGGGGUAGGGUCAAGUUGUGUGGACAAUGAGAUGUGGAUCCUCAAAUACUACAGCUACUGCUGAUGGCUAUGGCCUUUAGUUCUGAGGACGUGCUUUGACUCAAGACCAAGAAUACCUUUUCUGUUCUUUCUCCUUUUUUUUUUUUUUUUUUUUUUUUUUUUUUUUUUUUUUAAUACAGGGAUCUCUGUGUAGCCCUGUCCUGGAACUCACUUUGUAGACCAGGCUGAUCUCGAAACUCAGAGAGAUCCACCUGCCUCUGCUUCCCAAGUGCUGCAAUUAAAGGCAUGUGCCACCAUCACCCGGCUACCUUUUUCUUUUAAAAAUUUUAUGUAUUUAUUCAUUUGUACAUGUGUGCCAAGGCACAAGUGUAGAGGUCAGAAGACAAUGUAUGACAGCUGGUUCUCUCUUUCUACCAUGUGGAUUCUGGGACUGGAACUCAAGUUGGUGGCAAGAGCCAUCUCAAUGCCCUGCCUUCUGUCCCAGAACAUUUUUAAAGCUGUAACAGGUGUCCACUCCAAACCCUAGCUUGAUUUCCACCUCUUUGUCUCCCUCUAUUCCUGUCUCUGUUUGGCUCAUAGGUUUUAUUGUUUUUGUCUGUGUUGAUUUAUUUUGCUUUUCAAGAUAGGCUUGUGUGAUGUAGCCCAGGCUGGUCUGCCUCAAGAAUGUAUCAAAAGCAGCUGGCUCAUAAUUUAUUUGUUUAUCCCAAGAAUACAGUUAGUGAUUUUUAUGUACCAGAAGCUAUUCUGCACUCAGACCUAUCCCAACCCCACCCACGUUUUCACUCCCCUAAACAAGUUUGUUUGACCCAUAAACACUGGAUGUGCUUAAUCAUACAUGGGCAGGGGUUCAUAGACAGGAAAUAUGUCAGGAUGCAUGCUUGACCCUAUUGGAGUUGAUGGGAAAUACUCAAGCCACUGCAAACAGAGACUGGAGGCCAUCUUCUGGAAACCCAGAGAUGGACCUGGCCAGAGCCCAUCCAUCUGGCCCGUGUUUAAUUAAAGCUUGCUUCAAAUUUGGCUUUAAAUUGUGGAAGUGUCUUAUUCUCAACCGGAGGAAUUAACACUUGGAGCAGAGUCUCCUCGAGUGGAGAGGAGAAGGAAAGAUGGAGAAGGCCCUCCCCUGGCCUGGCCAUCUUACAUGUCAGGCUGACCCAGAAAUCUAUCUGGAACUCCUUAAGCUGUCUAUCUCUGAGCUGGAGGAGAGACUAUCUUGCUGUGUUGCCCCACAUAGCAGCCCUCAGCUUUCUGGAGUUUUCUCUGAUUUCUUGCAGUUGGAAAGUGCUGGGAGUUUCUGUCCAAGAGAAUUCAAUCGCACUCUGAUUUAGCAUCUCCAAAUUAAGCUGCGACUUCCUCCCCUCACACCCUCUGUCUUUUCAGGCUGGAGAAAACCUUCCCUUUCUCUCUCCCAGGGAAGCAUGUGGGGUGGAAGGGAAGGCCCCAGGCAAUUUGGAAUGAGGCCCUGGCAAACUCAAGAGUACUUGAGUAAUCUGGGCUUCUGGGGCCAGGUUAACUGACAGCCCCUGGCAUUUCUCUGCACCCCAAAGUCACAUUCUAUUCCCUCUCUGGGGCUUCAUAUUUGCUGUGAGCUGGAAGGGCUGUGAUGGAAUCAGGUGAUUGCUUGGAGCUGGGGGAAGUCCACUAAAAGGGAGACCAGGAUAGAUCCUUGAUGAGUGACAAAGUGAUCUAGCCUGGGAAGAUCAGCUCCCUCGGUGUGAUCACCUUUCCCUUGGUCCACAUCUUUCCAGUCUUCUUUAGCCUGAGGAGAGUUGUUCAAGUAAUUAAGGAGGCAGCAAAGGCAGGAAGAAUUGUCCCAAACUCUGAAUGAAAGUGUUAGACCCCCGAAAACUCAAGUAUCCGGGGUCUCAGGCCAGGUUCGCGGUCACCCCAAUCACCAGGCGGAUUCGAGAGCUUGCUGCAAACUGCACGAGGCUUUAUUGUAAUUUAACGAACUAACCCCAUGUUAGCUCGGGUCUUUCACCCACCCGCCAUGGCAGACAGCUAGAAAAAGACGGCUCCUAAGGUCUCCCCAAAGAUCUUAUAGGGCAGCGUAAGGGGAGUGUCUAGGGGUACGCACAGGCUUACGAUUGGUGUGCCUCCAGGCUUGGAGGGCUUGCCCUGUGUUGAUUGGUCAACUGGUUGUUAUGGCUCAUAGGCCCUCCCAGGGUGGUUGCUAUGCUCUCUACGUCAUUGCUGUGCGCUUGUCCGUAAAGCACACCCAGGGUCGUAAAGCAUAGCGCCACCAGCUAACUUCCGAUUGGCUCCUUGUCAUGAGACAGGCAUCUGACUUUCUAGUGACUAACUUCUGAUGGGUUCCUUGUCACGAGACAGGCAUCUGACCUCUACGUGACCAAGGCAGGUUUAUGGCAAGCAUGUGUUCGGCUGUAAUGGCUGCCAAAAGGGAGCUGGUUCCUUCAUUCCCCCAUUUUCUUUUUUGUAAAUUCCAAUCAUGGAAUUGCUGUCUCUCUAGCAUCCCCAUCAGGGAGUGAUAGAUACUGGCAUCCCCAUGCAAGGGAGUUCCCUUUGACUUAGCAUUUUAACCAGGGAAAAUGGACGGCGAAAUUCUUUUCCAAACUGCUUCCUGCUGACUUUGGGACGAAGUUAGGGACCCCAGAAGGUUGAAAUGCUAGUCAAAAGCAAAAAGGAAUUUAGGCAAUGGGGAAUCCAUCAGGGGCUUCUGGUUAGCAGACACUGUUGCAGAGACAGGGGGUGUCCACAUCAGCUGGACUGGUUCACAUCCAUAGCAAGUCUAGGGCUCGCAGUCUACUUAGGAACAGCCUGUAGUCAGCAACUGAUACUCAGAUGUCUGCCAGAAGCAGAAACCUGUUUAAGACACGUUUAAACUAGGAACAGAGGUUAAAACUUAUUUAUUGAAGCCCACAGUGUAGAAAAAGCAGAUAUUUGGAUAUCUGUUUAAACAGCAGGAACAUACUUAGCAAAAACUACAGAUUUGGGCUAUAAGCAUGUACAUUUUUCUUCUGUCCAGAGUGCCAGGUAUGGAUUGGACAGAGGUGCCUUUGGCCUGAUGAAAAGUCCUUUAAGUUUGUACUUAGAUGACAACCAAAAUAAACUUAAAAACUUUUGAACUUGUGCCUGAACAGUAGAUAGUCACUAUUUUAUUAGCUAACAUACUGACUAGUCUAUAGUGGAUCUGACUGCCUGAUGCUGUCAAGCUGACAACCAGUAAUAUUUCAGAGAUCUGAGAAGAGUAUACUUUAUCCGAAUCUACUAAAAAGUGACAGAAGCCAGUCUAUAUACAGUUAGCCAAACCCAAGUUUCUCCAUUACCGCUGGAGGCAGGUGUCUCAAAGACCAGCAAUCCUCGCCAGGCCUAUACUGUGAGAGUUUUUUCCUCUCUGUGGAAGAGGGACAUGGAAAAGACUGACCUUGUUUUGUCUAGGCAAAGGGGUGUAAUCAAUUUUCCAGUGUCCAGCAGCUUUGUCCACAGUCUCGGCUAGGUUCUGGCAGGCGGCAGGUAUCACAUCUGAGCAUCUCGCUCACUGGUCCAGGUGCAGGAACUGAGGUGCCUCGUAAUCUUCUUUGGAGACUUUGGGUCACUGUCCGGAUCUGGCAGUCUGUCUGACAUUAUAAACUUUAAAGAUAACAAUUUAAAUGCCAUAUUCUGAAGAUCUCUGAAGCAUUAGAGGUCUGUUUGUCUGUUUUAGUUACUUGCCUUAAGCACACAUUAAGCAUACAGGUGGCUAGGUAAGGUCUUCUUUCUGUAAGUAAUUUUUAGUCUGACUGUAACUGGUUUUAACUUAGUAAAAUGUUUGAAACAGCACAGCUGAACUUAAAACUGUAUAGAGCUAUCUUAUAUUCCUUAAACAGUAGCUUAACUUCUUUCUGAGACAGGGUUUUUCUGUGACUUUGGAGCCUGUCCUGGAAUUCGAUCUGCCGGACCAGGCAGGCCUUGAACUCAUAAAGAUCCAUUUGCCUCUUACUCCCGAGUGGUGGGAUUAAAGGCGUGUGUCACCUACACCCUGAGCUUAAAGGUGUGUGCUACCAACACCCUAAACUUAACUUCUGAAAACACAAACUGUAACAGAUUAGCAUCUUUUAUAAAACAAGAACUUUACAUUGUCAGGCUUUGCUUAAGAAUAAUUCUAAAUUGAAGCUCUUUAAGUACAAACUUUAAUAAAAACAAACAUUUGAAAAACUGGUUUUAAAAAGAAAUUUAAAUUCCCUUAAGGUCUUUCUGUAAUAUAUAUAGAAGCAUUAACAUUUUAAAUCUUAACUGAAAAACUUGUUUCUAAGAUGGUACCUCUAAUUUCCAUGGGGUCACCUUUAGUCAAGAUGGCGGCUUAAGUAUUUUUUUUUAACUUUAGCAAAAUGGCGACCAGUCAAGUCAUGUGACCAGUUGGCCAUGUGCUGGCUAAACCAGGAAACAGAACAUUUUAAAACAAGUAUAUAUAAAUUACUUGAGAAAUAAACAGGACUUUUUAAAAACAGAAUUAGCUUAAUAUGGUUAAAAUUUUAACUUAUAUUACCAUUUUUAAAAUUACUGUUUGUAGACAUGAGAAACCAUAGCACAGUUUACAUUUUUUUUUCACUUGUAACAACCUUUUCUCUGACCUUCGACAACUUUCCUCUGACCUUCUACAACUUACUUUAACCCUUUAUAACUUUCUGUAACAAUCUUUCUCUGACCUCCAACAACUUGCUUUAACCCUCUAUAACUUUUACCAUUUGUUUUAACUCUCUAUAAUCUUUUAUUUUAUUUCUCUGACUUUCUUAGACAUUCUUAGACAAUUUUUUUUCUUUAUUAUUUAAGUCUUUUACAUUUUUUUUUAUUUUUUAGUUAACAUAAAAAUUUUGUCAAAGUCCCUUUUAUAGUUCUUAAUAACUUUAAGGCCAUUUAGAUGUCCGGAUCAGGCCAGAUAAGUUUAUAUGCUCAAGCUCCAUGUGCUCAAGGCAGAGAGACCUGGGGUAGGGGUGCUGCUGGUAACCCCAGACCCUAGGCCAAUCCAGGUGUGGGAAAAAGACUCCUGUGGCCCCCCUGCAUACCAUGUGUGUAGAGCACAAAGAAUGCCGGGCAGCUAGGCAAAUGGCAGGGACCCAUGGGACCGGCAAGUGGGGAUAGGGAAAGACUCACCUACAUGGGCCAGGCUCAGCUGUAAGGGCUGCAGCAGUGGUUCGAGUUCAGAAAAGCAGCCUCGGGGGACUCCAACAUAACACAUUCUAACCCGUGACACAUGGCAGAACUCCUUUCCCGUGCCAUGUGCUUAGGGCAACAAGAAAAGACCCCUGACCCAUGCAUGCCACAAAUAUGAGACAUGGAGACAUUAGACAGGACAAACCGCGGCAAAGAAAUGGUGCCCCAAACCAAAAUUACAACCAAACCUUGGACUUUCAUCCAGGGUGGAACCAAGGUUCUCGCAAGUCUGCUUACCCUAUGGUUCAAUUACAAAUUCUGCGCAGAUCAAAUACAAAUUACAAAUUCUGCGCAGAUCAAAUCAAGCAACCCUCGGACUUUCAUCCAGGGCAGGACUUCAGGGUCUUCCCCAGAAGUCCGAAUUACAAAUACAAAUUCUGCGCAGAUCAAAUACAAAUCAUGGCACCAAACAAAACAGCAAGAGACAAAACAAGAAACAUAGAACAUUGAACAUAUACAAGUUUCGAGCUCGAAUCAUCUUACCUCCAAGAUCGAAUCCACUCAGGUGAAGGGUGGUCGCAAAUCGCGGACGAGCCCCUCCCAGGGUGGUUGCUAUGCUCUCUACGUCAUUGCUGUGCGCUUGUCCGUAAAGCACACCCAGGGUCGUAAAGCAUAGCGCCACCAGCUAACUUCCGAUUGGCUCCUUGUCAUGAGACAGGCAUCUGACUUUCUAGUGACUAACUUCUGAUGGGUUCCUUGUCACGAGACAGGCAUCUGACCUCUACGUGACCAAGGCAGGUUUAUGGCAAGCAUGUGUUCGGCUGUAAUGGCUACCAAAAGGGAGCUGGUUCCUUCAAAAGAAGACAAAGUUAGUUUUGAGCUAGCGUUUAGAGGGUGACUGGACUGAACUGAGGUGAGAGUGGCCCCGUGGGUGGGGGGAGCAUGAGACUGGUUUGUAGUAAUUUGAAAAAAUAAAAGUUCCAAUCUUUCCUCCCUCUCCACAGCUGAAUCUUAGAUCCCUCUCCUCGCCCCUUCCCCUUCCUCCCCACCCCACCCCAACUUGUACUCACAUUCACUGUCUCCUUAGUGCUUCCCAUCUCAUGAACAAGCUCCUCCCCAUCUGGUACUCACUAGGUCCCAGCUGCAUUAUCUUCCACCCUAUUCCAGAAACUUCACAAGCCAAUCACUAAGAACAGAAUCUGUUCACAACAGACAGCACACGGUUUCUGUUCAGCUCUGUGGCUCUGGGCAACCUUCUGGAAAAGCCCUUGCUGGUUCAGCCACAAACUCUGGCCUGCCUUUCAUAAACACUGCUGUGGAAGACCCUGGACUCAGAGGAGCAAGAUUGGGCUGAGCACAGGGCACAUCCUUCACUUCACAGGGUGGCUGGGUGGGGCAAUAUAUGCUGAACUAGCCAGAUAUGCUGCACUAGCCAGGAUCCAAGGCUCAGGCACAGGACUUCCCACUCAGGGGGAAGCAACUCACUUCAGAGAGGCCUUGAGAAAGUUAUUUUAACCUCCCUUUCUUUCUUUUCAGUAGAUCAGAGAUGUAUUGCAGCUAGUUCACAAAUAACCUUUGUGUAAAAGACUGAUCAUUUUUUUCUACCUAAAGGAACACAAAAUUCCAGGAAAGAAAUGGAAGGAAGAAAGGAAGGAAGGAAGGAAGGAAGGAAGAUCCGGGUGGUAGUGUGCACACCUUUAGUCCCAGCACUCGGAGGCAGAGGCAGGUGGAUCUCUGUGAGUUCAAGGCCAGCCUGGUCUUCAAAGAAAGUUCCAGAACAGUCUCCAAACCUAUGAGAAACCCUGUCUUGAUAAACAAACAAAAGAAAAUAAAAAGGGAGAGAGAGAGAGAAGAAGAAGAACAUGAUUACUCCCAGAGCCUCGUGACAGCCCUGCCCCUGAGACUGCUCACAGUGCAGGCAGGAGACGUGCUCCUAAAACAAGCUGUCUUUACAACCAAUGUA
ensembl:lncRNA